rnacentral:pre_miRNA from 1 species
GACAUGUCCCGUGGCCCAUGAAAUCAAGCGUGGGUGAGACCUGGUGCAAAACAGGAAGGCGACCCAUACUUGGUUUCAGAGGCUGCGAGAAUA